rnacentral:tRNA from 2 species
CAGAAUAAAGUUUUAUUAAAUAUUAGUUUUGGAGACUAAAGAAGCUUUGGUAUAAAGGCUAUUCUGA